AUACAUAGGUUAACGAGGCGAACCGGGGGAACUGAAACAUCUAAGUACCCCGAGGAAAAGAAAUCAACCGAGAUUCCCCCAGUAGCGGCGAGCGAACGGGGAGCAGCCCGGAGUCUGAAUCAGCUUGUGUGUUAGUGGAACGGUCUGGAAAGUCCGACGGUACAGGGUGAUAGUCCCGUACACGAAAGCACACUUGCUGUGAACUCGAAGAGUAGGGCGGGACACGUGGUAUCCUGUCUGAAUAUGGGGGGACCAUCCUCCAAGGCUAAAUACUCCUGACUGACCGAUAGUGAACCAGUACCGUGAGGGAAAGGCGAAAAGAACCCCGGCGAGGGGAGUGAAAAAGAACCUGAAACCGUGUAC
rnacentral:rRNA from 1 species